GACGAACGCUGGCGGCGUGCCUAAUACAUGCAAGUCGAACGCAGGGGGGACGGGUGAGUAACACGUGGGUAACCUCCCAUCAGAGGGGAUAACACUUGGAAACAGGUGCUAAACCGAUACUGAUGGAUGGAACCGCGGUGCAUUAGCUAGUGGUCGGGGUAACGGCGCACCAAGGCCAAGCGUCAUAGCCGCCCUGAAAGGGUGAUAGGCCACACUGGGACUGAGACCCGGCUCAGACUCCUACGGGAGGCAGCAGUAGGGAAUCGUCGGCAAUGGACGAAAGUCUGACCGAGCAACGCCGCGUGAGUGAAGAAGGUUUUCGGAUCGUAAAACUCUGUUGUUAGAGAAGCGGUAUCUAACCAGAAAGCCACGGCUAACUACGUGCCAGCAGCCGCGGUAAUAC
rnacentral:rRNA from 1 species